GAUCAUUACCGAGUUUACAACUCCCAAACCCCUGUGAACAUACCUUAAUGUUGCCUCGGCGGAUCAGCCCGCGCCCCGUAAAACGGGACGGCCCGCCAGAGGACCCAAACUCUAAUGUUUCUUAUUGUAACUUCUGAGUAAAACAAACAAAUAAAUCAAAACUUUCAACAACGGAUCUCUUGGUUCUGGCAUCGAUGAAGAACGCAGCAAAAUGCGAUAAGUAAUGUGAAUUGCAGAAUUCAGUGAAUCAUCGAAUCUUUGAACGCACAUUGCGCCCGCUGGUAUUCCGGCGGGCAUGCCUGUUCGAGCGUCAUUUCAACCCUCAAGCCCCCGGGUUUGGUGUUGGGGAUCGGCUCUGCCUUCUGGCGGUGCCGCCCCCGAAAUACAUUGGCGGUCUCGCUGCAGCCUCCAUUGCGUAGUAGCUAACACCUCGCAACUGGAACGCGGCGCGGCCAUGCCGUAAAACCCCAACUUCUGAAUGUUGACCUCGGAUCAGGUAGGAAUACCCGCUGAACUUAAGCAUAUCAAU
rnacentral:misc_RNA from 1 species